ACACCACCCAACCGCAAUGAUGCACACAGUGGCAGCAGCCACCGAAACGUCCCUUUCCAUUGCGGCAGCAGCAGCGGCAAAUGUGUCCCUCUCCCGUCUCUCAUAGCGGACGGAAAAUUUGGGCGGAGUCUACUGACUUGUG
ensembl:ncRNA C10G11.17 ncRNA